UCGAGAAUUUUUCACAAUGGGCGCAAGCCUGAUGGAGCGACGCCGCGUGGGGGAUGAAGGGCUUCGGUCCGUAAACCCCUGUCAUUUGCGAACAAAGCUGCUGGCCUAAUACGCUAGUAGUUGAUAGUAGCAAAAGAGGAAGGGACGGCUAACUCUGUGCCAGCAGCCGCGGUAAUACAGAGGUCCCAAGCGUUGUUCGGAUUUACUGGGCGUAAAGGGUGCGUAGGUGGCGGGGUAAGUCUGGUGUGAAAGCUCCGAGCUCAACUCGGAAAAGCAUUGGAAACUAUCCCGCUUGAGGGUCGGAGGGGAGACUGGAAUUCUCGGUGUAGCAGUGAAAUGCGUAGAUAUCGAGAGGAACACCAGUGGCGAAGGCGAGUCUCUGGACGACUCCUGACACUGAGGCACGAAAGCUAGGGGAGCAAACAG
rnacentral:rRNA from 1 species